GACAGAGGAUGCAAGCGUUAUCCGGAAUGAUUGGGCGUAAAGCGUCUGUAGGUGGCUUUUUAAGUCCGCCGUCAAAUCCCAGGGCUCAACCCUGGACAGGCGGCGGAAACUACCAAGCUGGAGUACGGUAGGGGCAGAGGGAAUUUCCGGUGGAGCGGUGAAAUGCGUAGAGAUCGGGAAGAACGCCAAGGGCGAAGGCACUCUGCUAGGCCUGAUUUCGCGACUGACACUCAGGGACGAGAGCCAGGGGAGCGAAUGGG
rnacentral:rRNA from 1 species